rnacentral:rRNA from 1 species
UCCGUAGGCGGUUUGGUAAGUCAGUGGUGAAAGCCCAUCGCUCAACGGUGGAACGGCCAUUGAUACUGCUAGACUUGAAUUACUAGGAAGUAACUAGAAUAUGUAGUGUAGCGGUGAAAUGCUUAGAGAUUACAUGGAAUACCAAUUGCGAAGGCAGGUUACUACUAGUUUAUUGACGCUGAUGGACGAAAGCGUGGGUAGCGAACAGGAUUAGAUACCCUCGUA